ACACACACGUACGGAGAAUUUCUGGAGAAUUCAGCUGCUCAGAACAAGAACUGAGAUCCAGAGAGAUGAUGACUUUGCCCAUAGACCAAACAAAGAAAUACAUGUUUCAGUCCUGUGUCCUUCUGCUAUGUGUGUCCGGAAUUGGUGGGUUCUUGGUCUCACUGACUUCAAGAAUGAAGCCGCGGACCCUCACAGUGAGUGUUACAGUUCUUAAAGGCAGUGUGUCCACAGUUUGUUCCUACUGAUGUUCAGAUGUGUUCGGCGCUUCUUCCUUCUGGUGGGUUCCUGGUCUCGCUGGCUCAGGAGUGACGCUGCAGACCUUUGCGGACCGUGUGUGAAUGCCUGCUCUGUGAGCCCUCAGAAUCUACUGGCCGAAUGAGUGCGUGAAGGAGGAAAUGUGCUCAGAGCUGCUGUGUGUCAUCCUGUGUUUGAAGUGCUCUUGCAGCUAUCAUUCGUCCUGUUAAGAAUUUGAAGAAGUGUGUGCACAAAGUAUCACAGGCACCGGAAAAUAUGCACAUUAUGCUGGAGCAUUAGAAUGCAACAGAAAGAGCCCUGGGCUUGGAGUAUGCAGAACUGGUUCUUGUUACAACUCCUCUUACUAGUGGGCUCUGGAAGAAAACACAUUGAAUUCAUGAUCAUGGUUAACCUUUGGAGAGAGAGAGGAGACCAGGAUGAAGGAGCCAGUCAAAGGUCUGUAUUUCUCUACCUGGACUACCCUGAGAGCUAACCCCAGUUAUUGGUCUGGAAGCAACGAAUGAAGGCCGGGGCAGAGCUUGAGGAGGGCAUCAUCAUUUCGUCACAGUCACCAUCAAGAAUGUAGUUGCAGGCUGGGCGCUGUGGCUCACGCCUGUAAUCCCUGCACUUUGGGAACCGAGAUCUGAAGAAGAAAACAGAAGCAACAUUCAAAUUAACAUCAGUCAACUGAUGGAAUAUUUUAGAUGAAGUAAGAGAAGCCAAGGCAUGUACCCUCAGGCUCUGGGCUUCUCCCUGCAAGGUAGGGAAGAAAUUUGGAGAAGGCAAAGUGGGAGCAAGUCAAAUGGAAGAGACAUUAUGGGUCAGGUGGGUGAGAACUGUGGGAGGGAGGUUCAGGGUGCUCCAUUUGGCAGGUUUUUCAUAGUGCCUGUGCAGUCCAGGGCUCUGAUUUCUGUAAGCAGAAUGAUGUCAUUCAUUCUUUUAUUCAUCUAUUUGUUAAGUCAACAUUUAUUGAGAGUCUCUUAUGCUACUCACUGUGCUAGGCGGUAGGGCUCAAAGAUGAAUAAAACGCUGUUUCCUUGUUUUUCAGAAAUUCAUAGUGUAGUGGGAGGCGGACAGAAAUGCCAUUGACUAUUGAUUACCUGACACUGACAGGUGCUGAAAUAGAGGAAUAUACGGGAGGCCAUGGGAGGCCAGAUGAAGUGAAAAACCCACUCUUACUGGUGUGUGUGCACACACAGGAGGAGUUACGCAAUGCCGUGUCUGGUUUCCUGUCCUCGCACAUUUCCAUUGCUCAUUUCUAGAGCCACUUGACCAUAAUGGCUGGUCAGGGAUAAUGUAAAGAAUCUUUGUUUGGCAGCUGUGACGACUGCUCAGUCAACCUUCCCUUCUGUCCUCAGCACAUAUACCUAGUUUCUUACUCUGCUUUUGUGACUCAUCUCCUCUUGUACCCUAGACAUCUUUUCUAUUUUUAUACCUCUUGCACCCUCAAAGAUCCCUUGAAUCUCUCUUGCCUAAACCUCUUUUAGGCAAAUCCUACCUCCUUUUCUUUAUACCUGCUUUGAGAGAAGGGGAAAAUGUCUUAAUAUAUGCACUAAUUAGGCCCCUUGAUGGUCUAAUUUCAGCCUCACAUUGUUUCGUUUUGUAAAUGAGCCCCAGGGAAGUUAAGCAAUUUGUCCAAAUUCACACAACUAGAAAAGAAAAAAGCAGGACAUUGAAUGGAGACCCAAUAUUCAGAGUACCUGAUUUUAGACCCAGUAUUCAAAGCACCGACUGCUAUGGUCUGAAUGUGUUCCCUCCAGAUUCAUGUGUUGAAAUCCUAAUCCCGAAGUUGAUACUAUUAGGAGGUGGGACCUUUUCAGAUGCGAUUGGGUCAUGAGUGUGCAGCCCCCAUGAUUGGGAUUAGUGCCCUGUCAAAUAGGAGAGACUGCAGAGAGCUAGCUAGCUCCUUUUCGCCAUGUGAGGGCACAGUGAGACAGCCCUGUCUAUGAGGAAGUGGCCCUCACCAGACACUGCUGGCACCUUGAGCUUGGACUUCUCAGCCUCUAGAACUGUCAGAAAUAAAUAAAUUUCUGUUGUUUACAAGUGACGGAGUCUAAGAUAUUUUGUUAAUAGUAACCUGAAGGGACUAAGACAUUUUCCGAAACCUUAAAGGCUCUCAGAUGAUCACCUCUAAAACACUCAGUCACAACAUUUUUCUAUUCAAAGUCUCCAGGGAGAAAAGAGAAAGCACUACAAAGACUGCCUUGUAGUAUUAUAAUCCCUUCACUUUUUCUAUCAAAUGUCCUGUCCCCCCUGUGCACCUAGAGACUCACAAGGCACUUACAUCUCUGCCUCGUGAGCCUAGAGGUACAUGAGGGGCAGGACCUUUGAUAGAAAAAGUACGUGUGUGCGCACACACAGACAUAUAUAUAUAUACACACACACGUAUAUUUCUGCUUAGUAGAUAUCACCAAACAAUUUUCCAAAGUGAUUGCACCAGUUUACAUUUCCACCAGCAGCAUAGGCAGUAAUUAUCCUCUUCAACAUUUGGUAUUGUCAGUCUUUUGAAUUUUAGCCAUUCUAGUGAGUUUGUAAUAAAAUAUCAUUGAGGCAUUAAUUACAUUUACCUGAUUAUUAAUGAGAAUGAGCACCUACUUAAAUAAGUAUAAUAAGUAUAAUAUUUUCCAUAGGUUUUUUGAAGACAUUGUCUCUCAGAUUAGAGAUGGUCGAUUAUUCUGUUCAAAAUGUUUUCUAACUUCCCAUUGUGAUUUCCUCUCUGAAUCUAUAGGUUUAGUUAGAAGUAUGUUUUGAAACUUCCAAACAUGUGGCUACUUUGUGAAUAUAGUUUUGUUAUUGAUUUCUAGCUCAAUUCCCCUGUGGUAAGGUAACAUACUCUGUGAUUUCAGUUCUUGAAAUUUGUUGAGACUUGCUUAAUGGCCCAGCAUUUUGUAAUUUUGGUGUAUGAACUAAGUGUGUAUUCUGCAGAUGUUGGGUGCAGUAUUCUACAAAGACCGAUUAAGUCAAGUUUACAAAUGUAUACUCCUAUAAAUGUAAACUGAUUUUUGUCUUAUUAUUCUAUUAGAUCUCAGAGAGAGUAAUAAAAUUUGAAUCUAUGCUAUUAGUUACAUGUAAAUUUAGAAUUGUUAUAUCUUCUUGACAAAUCUAAUUUUCAUCAUCAUGAGGUCACUUUCUUUGUCUUUAGGAAUGCUUUUAACCUUAGUGCCUAGUUUGACAUUAUUGUUAAAUCUUUGAGAAUUCUGAUAUUUUAGUCUUGUGUUUUGUAAGUAACAUAUCAAAUUCAGUGUUAUUCAAGAUAACAACCUUUGUCUUUUAAUCACUGAAUUUAAAUAUUUAUAUGUUAUGUAAUUUCUGAUAUUUUGGGGUUUAAAUCAACCAUUUUGCUCAGCUUUUCAAUUUGUACUGCUUGUUCUAUGUUCCAUUUUUUUCAUUUCUUGCCUUCAUUUGCAUUGAUUGAAAAUUUUUAAAAGUUAUUUGAAUCCUGUAAAUUCUUGUGGUGAUUACACCAAAUAUUGCAAUAUGUAUAUCUGACAUAAAAAUAAAAUAUCAUUUAGUUAUUU